GUGUUCUUUAUAAAUCCAACGGCUAAGAUCAAUAGCUCUUCAAACUUAAGCAAUCUUGGCGGAAAUAAUUAAUGGAAGCGAAAAAAAUUUGAGCUUUGGAGCAUAUUCUUCUCAAAGGAUUUCCCUUCGUUUUUUAUCGUCAGGACUCUCGUUUUUUCAACACUUCCACCAAGAAGAAAAAAAAUACCCAUUAUUGUUAAACCAUUUCUUCGGGGUUCUACUGCUUCUGCUAUUCUUCCAUCAGGUGCUAGGAUCUUCUUUUUGUGAUCCACUGAUAAGGAAGCUUCUCCUGUUUUGGUUGUAGAAUUAAAUUCUUAAUGGGUGAUUCAGAAAAUACAGUUCCUUCUUCAAAAAAGAGGGUUGCUGGGAGAGAGCUGUCUCGGGAUAAUCCUGGACUGGACGAUGAGGAUGAGUCUCCUGAGCAAGAGACUGGGACAUUCAAGAGGGCUAGUGAUGAAGUGUUGGCGACCAGAAGAAUUGUUAAGGUUCGCCGUCAACAACCUCCAGCAGCUGCCUCUUCCAAUCCUUUUGCUGCAAUCCGUUUAGUAAAUCCUCCUACUGAAUCCAGUACAAAACCAGCUGAAGUUAUCCCUGAAGCACAUCCUGGUGAGCAAAAAGUUUCAGAAGGAGCAGAAGGAACAAGUGAUGUGGGUACAGAAACUGAAAAGGAGCCUGAAAUAACUGAGCCAAAACAAGAUAAGAACGAUAAGCCAUCAGAAAACAGGAUUGAUGAACCAAAGGCCGAAUCUGAUAAUGAUAAGAGGAAAAGUGGUCCAGUUGAUGAAGUAGGUGAACCUGAGAUUGGUGAGGAAAAGGAAGCUGUUGAUGAAACUGAGAAGGUAGCUGAGGAAGAGAAUGGUCAGCCAAAUACAGCUUCUCCUCUAAGUUCAUUUCGACAAUUGUCAAGCAACCAAAAUGCCUUCACGGGUCUUGUUGGUACUGGAUUUUCCAGUUCGUCAUUCUCCUUUGGCUUAAUUCCAAAAGAUGGUUCUGGAGUUGGUUUUGGCUCUGGUGCUGGGCCUCGGUUUGGGCUUAACAAUGACAAACCAUCUUCUUAUCCGCCCUUCAGUUUUGGUAGCUCUAACAACGGGAGCCCUUCUGUCUUUAGAACUGGAGGGGAAUCCAGUGUUGCUAAGAGCGAGGGAGGUGGCCCCUCCUUGCAGGAGGUUCAGGUUGAGACAGGGGAAGAGAAUGAGAAGGCUGUUUUUAGUGCUGAUGCUGUGUUGUUUGAGUAUCUUGAUGGAGGGUGGAAGGAACGAGGAAAAGGAGAACUCAAAGUGAAUGUUUCAACGAGUGGAACUGAAAAGGCCAGACUUAUUAUGAGAGCUAGGGGAAACUUACGGUUGAUCUUGAAUGCAAGUCUUUACCCAGACAUGAAAUUCACAAAUAUGGACAAGAAGGGCAUCACUUUUGCUUGCAUAAAUAGCACAGGAGAAUGUAAGGAAGGGCUUUCUACAUUUGCCUUGAAGUUCAAGGAUGGUUCCAUUGUGGAAGAGUUCCGUGGAGAAGUUAUGGCACACAAAGGCAGUGUGAGUUAUUUAUAAGAUGGCUGUCCAACAUUGGCGGAAGAUUUGAAGUUGAUUUGUCAAAGAGACAUCACUAGUUUUGAAUGCCCAAGCAAGUCCCCACACAAAGAAGAAAGUCCUUUUGUCCCUGAGAGAGCAAGGCUGUGCUAAGACAUGCAAGCAAGUCCUUUGUCCGAGUUGAUUGGAGAUCAAAGACACUGUGCUCAUGGCCAAAUUCGUUGAGCUGGAGAUAAUAUUUUUUUUUUAAAACAAUUUUAGAAUUUUUAUUUUUGUUUCUUUUGAGAAUUAUCAUUGAAUCCAGGAGGGAGAGAAUUUCCAGAGGCUUGUUAGAUUUUAGCAUUGAUCUUCUGAUGCAGAUCAGUGGUCUAAUUCACCAAUUGUGGGUUAGUUUAGGGGCUGUUAUCUUCUUUGUUUUUUAUUAAUUAGUUUCCUUGUACAGUUUGGAUUACCAGUUAUAAAUUCUAGUCCUAUUUUUAGUCUUA